AGCAGUCGCCGCGGGAAUACGUAGGGUGCAAGCGUUGUCCGGAAUUAUUGGGCGUAAAGGGCUCGCAGGCGGUUUCUUAAGUCUGAUGUGAAAGCCCCCGGCUCAACCGGGGAGGGUCAUUGGAAACUGGGAAACUUGAGUGCAGAAGAGGAGAGUGGAAUUCCACGUGUAGCGGUGAAAUGCGUAGAGAUGUGGAGGAACACCAGUGGCGAAGGCGACUCUCUGGUCUGUAACUGACGCUGAGGAGCGAAAGCGUGGGGAGCGAACAGGAUUAGAUACCCCAGUAGUCCCUGUCUCUUAUAC
rnacentral:rRNA from 1 species